CUUCUAGCAGGGGAGUGUGUGUGUGUGUGUGUGUGUCCUUACUGUCUGUCUUCUAGCAGGGGAGUGUGGGAGUGUGUGUCCUUACUGUCUGUCUUCUAGCAGGGGAGUGUGUGUGUGUGUCCUUACUGUCUGUCUUCUAGCAGGGAGUGUGUGUGUGUGUGUGUCCUUACUGUCUGUCUUCUAGCAGGGGAGUGUGUGUGUGUGUGUGUGUGUGUCCUUACUGUCUGUCUUCUAGCAGGGGAGUGUGUGGGUGUGUGUGUGUGUCCUUACUGUCUGUCUUCUAGCAGGGGAGUGUGUGUGUGUGUGUGUGUCCUUACUGUCUGUCUUCUAGCAGGGGAGUGUGUGUGUGUGUGUGUCUU
ensembl:lncRNA